UUGCAGAUGAGUGAUCAUAGUCCUAAAAUGGGGCAUAUGUUCAUGCUGGCUUUGCAACUUGUUUGACAUAGAUGCUAGUGCAUAGCACUUGACCCGACUAUCUUCAUCCAUCCACUUCUCAAAAGCAGCUCUUUGCUUAGCAGUAGGAUAGUUUGAUAACACUAUGAGUUUUUGAUCAAGUACACGACCUAAUUUUUUUGAUAUCAAGACAAUCCUGAGGUUUCUGAGCUAGUCUUUGUAAUUAGUUUCGAUCAAAUGAUUGGUUUCAAGGAUGCGAGCUAGAAGAUUUGAGGCUGACA
rnacentral:lncRNA from 1 species